rnacentral:ncRNA from 1 species
AUUAAUAACGGAGGUCGGGAACCUCAAAUAAUUAAU